GCCCUAUACAAUCAAUAUAAGGUGAUACCUGCUCAAUGGCUAUGAAUAAAUAAUAAUAGUAGUUAAAUAGCCGCGGUAACUCUGACCGUGAUAAAGUAGCAUAAUCAUUUGUCAUUUAAUUGGUGACUAGAAUGAAUGGUUUUACGAAUCCCUAACUGUCUCAACAAUAAAAUUAAUGAAAUUAAAUUAAUAGUGAAGAUGCUAUUUAUAAAUUGUAAGACGAAAAGACCCUAUCGAGCUUUACUAUACGCUUGAAUACACAAGUACAAAAACCUAUUUAAGAAACAUAAAUUCAAGUCAAUUAGUUUGGUUGGGGCGACCACCUCUAAAAAAGUAUCAGAGGAAAUCUAAAGGUUAAUAUUAAUAUAACAAACCUAACUGCAUAUAAAUGAAUUAACCAGGUAUAACAAGUAGGAUAUAAUGACCCGUUGAAAUAAUUUUAACAAUCAACGACUACAGAAAAAGUUACCGUAGGGAUAACAGGGUAAUAUUCUUAGAGAGUUCUUAUCGAUGAGAAUGUUUGCCACCUCGAUGUUGAAUUAUGAUACCCUAAAGGUGCAGAAGCUUUU
rnacentral:rRNA from 1 species